AUGAGGGGCCUGGUUUAGAACAUUCGGCGGUUUGGGCAACUGGAUCGAAGGCGGCAACUAAUCGAGUACAUUAGGGACCAACGCAUUGACUUCUUGGGCCUGCAAGAAACGAUUCGGUCGUUCUUCUCUCAAGUAGAGUUGGACUCGCUUGGUGGGACCAUGGGUUUCCAGUGGGAGUGGGUCCCGGCGUCUGGCCGUUCGGGAGGCAUCCUCCUUGGGGUUAACAGGGAGACUUUCGAAGUUCUAUCAUAUUCGAGGGGCAACUUCUUCAUUGGAGUGGAGAUGAUCCAACGAGAUAUUAACUUUAAGUGGGAAUUAGUAGUGGUGUACGGACCGGCGGGCCACUCCAGGUCCCAGGACUUUUUGCGUGAAUUACAUGACAAAGUGCGUCAGUCGGCGAACCCUUUGGUCAUAGCUGGAGACUUUAACCUUAUUAGGUCAAGAGAGGAUAAAAGCAACCAGGUUAUUAAUGAUCAACAUCUUCUAGGUGUGUUUAAUGAGUGGGUGGCAGAUUUGGAGCUUAUUGAGCUGUAG
rnacentral:rRNA from 1 species